rnacentral:rRNA from 1 species
GACAGAGGGUGCAAACGUUAUCCGGAUUUACUGGGCGUAAAGCGCGUUCAGGCGGUUUGGCAAGUCGGGCAUGAAAUCUCUCGGCUCAACCGGGAGAGGUUGUCCGAUACUGCUGGACUUGAGGGCAGUAGAGGGUGGUGGAAUUCCGGGUGUAGUGGUGAAAUGCGUAGAUAUCCGGAGGAACACCAGUGGCGAAAGCGGCCACCUGGACUGUACCUGACGCUCAAACGCGAAAGCUAGGGGAGCGAACGGG